AUUGAACGCUGGCGGAAUGCUUUACACAUGCAAGUCGAGCGGCAGCACGGGGGCAACCCUGGUGGCGAGCGGCGAACGGGUGAGUAAUACAUCGGAACAUGCCCAGUCGUGGGGGAUAACACUUCGAAAGAAGUGCUAAUACCGCAUACGUCCUGAGGGAGAAAGCGGGGGAUCGCAAGACCUCGCGCGAUUGGAGUGGCCGAUGUCAGAUUAGCUAGUUGGUGGGGUAAAGGCCUACCAAGGCAACGAUCUGUAGCUGGUCUGAGAGGAUGAUCAGCCACACUGGGACUGAGACACGGCCCAGACUCCUACGGGAGGCAGCAGUGGGGAAUUUUGGACAAUGGGGGCAACCCUGAUCCAGCCAUUCCGCGUGAGUGAAGAAGGCCUUCGGGUUGUAAAGCUCUUUCGGCAGGAACGAAACGGUGAGCUCUAACAUAGCGCGCUAAUGACGGUACCUGAAGAAGAAGCACCGGCUAACUACGUG
rnacentral:rRNA from 1 species